AACAUUGGAGACCAGUCUUCUGAAGAGAUGCCAAAAAAGCUUCCUAGACCAUUGGGCUCUCUACCCCACCACUCUCCUCAAGCUUCUCCUUCCUGUUACUGUUCAAGUCCCCUUCAGUCUCUGCCUACUCUACAUCUUGCCUAUAGGCAAACCACACAAACCAACUCACGUUCUGUUCUCCAAACUACCCAUUUCCCUUCUCUGAAGCAUCCAGUUUUUUGCUCCACUUUAACUUCCUGUUCACCAAACACUUUCUCUAGGGCCAAAAGUUCCAUGAAGUGUACUGCUCUCCUAUCUCCCUUUUCCUGGAAUGCCAAGUAUCCCUCUACUCCUUCUAACAGCCCCACUGAAUCAUACCCUAUUUUGUCCUAUAAACAAGGAAGACAGCUACUGUCUGCCAGACUGAAUAAUAUACACUUUGAGGCCAAGCAACAGAUUUAGCAGACUGCCAUUGAGAGACAUGCCAAAGAAUCUAAGAGAAACCAAUGUCUUCUGGAGCCUACAGGAUCAUCAGAAAGCCAUGUCUUCAUAAGAUACCUUGGAUGGAAAUUUACACGAUCACUGGCUAGCAUUAUGUUCAUCAGGGUACAAGGAAGAAAUCCCUAAGAUACAAAGACCGUAAAUCUAGGAGAAGCUUAGAGAUGAGAGGCCUCAGUGACUGUAAUUUCUUCCCAUGAAUUAGGAGGCACAGACUCAAUUCAGAUUGUCAUAAGCUAAGGGAUGGGACAAG
rnacentral:lncRNA from 1 species